AAGACUAGUUUCAGGGAUCAUUUCUAUAGUAUGUGACUAGAGAAGUUUCUCUGGUCGUAUAGAACACUUGAAGCCACGAGGAGGAGCCAGAGCGUCCUCUCCUGAUUGUGAAGCCGGCUCUAGGUGUCGCUUCUGCGACUGCCUUUGGCCAUUGAUGAUCAUUCUUCCCUUCCUUUUGGAAAAGAUAGAGGGAGAGGAUGCAGUCUGAAUGGU